rnacentral:rRNA from 1 species
GACGAACGCUGGCGGCGUGCCUAAUACAUGCAAGUCGAGCGGACUUUCAAGAAGCUUGCUUUUUGAAAGUUAGCGGCGGACGGGUGAGUAACACGUGGGCAACCUGCCUGCAAGACGGGGAUAACUCCGGGAAACCGGGGCUAAUACCGGAUAAUAUCUUCCUUCGCAUGAAGGAAGGUUGAAAGGCGGCGCAAGCUGCCGCUUGCAGAUGGGCCCGCGGCGCAUUAGCUAGUUGGUGAGGUAACGGCUCACCAAGGCGACGAUGCGUAGCCGACCUGAGAGGGUGAUCGGCCACACUGGGACUGAGACACGGCCCAGACUCCUACGGGAGGCAGCAGUAGGGAAUCUUCCGCAAUGGACGAAAGUCUGACGGAGCAACGCCGCGUGAGCGAAGAAGGUCUUCGGAUCGUAAAGCUCUGCUGUCAGGGAAGAACAAGUACCGUUCGAACAGGGCGGUACCUUGACGGUACCUGACCAGAAAGCCACGGCUAACUACGUG